GAUGAACGCUGGCGGCGCGCCUAAUACAUGCAAGUCGAGCGAACAGACGAGGAGCUUGCUCCUCUGACGUUAGCGGCGGACGGGUGAGUAACACGUGGAUAACCUACCUAUAAGACUGGGAUAACUUCGGGAAACCGGAGCUAAUACCGGAUAAUAUAUUGAACCGCAUGGUUCAAUAGUGAAAGACGGUUUUGCUGUCACUUAUAGAUGGAUCCGCGCCGCAUUAGCUAGUUGGUAAGGUAACGGCUUACCAAGGCAACGAUGCGUAGCCGACCUGAGAGGGUGAUCGGCCACACUGGAACUGAGACACGGUCCAGACUCCUACGGGAGGCAGCAGUAGGGAAUCUUCCGCAAUGGGCGAAAGCCUGACGGAGCAACGCCGCGUGAGUGAUGAAGGUCUUCGGAUCGUAAAACUCUGUUAUUAGGGAAGAACAAAUGUGUAAGUAACUAUGCACGUCGUGACGGUACCUAAUCAGAAAGCCACGGCUAACUACGUG
rnacentral:rRNA from 1 species